GAUCACCUUCCUCUCCACAAAUACAUCAGAAAUACAGCUACAUGUGGAACAACUCCUACAGAACACCUACUGAAUGCUGGCAGAAGACUUCAGACCUCCCAAAAGGCAAGAAACUCCCCACGUACCUGGGUCCACAAGCCCCACGAAGGCCAAUACCUGGGUUGUUUUGUUCACCACAGCCUCGCCAGCCCUGAAUAAAGCUCAGCACAUAAUUUUCCUCAAGAGUGCUGUGGUGGCCCCACUGGAGCAGUGUGCUGGGAGGCACAAGACCCAAAGUACGGGUCCAGCUGUGUGACUGCAGACCAGAUGCUUAACCUCCUAAACACAUUAACGCCAUUUCGCCACUGAAGGAAAGGUGAAUGACUGUGGCCAAUCACUGCUCCUGGUUUUUGUGACUCUGACAUUAUAUGAAAGGAGUUUGGGGAAAUGUAAUGGAAGAAAAGGGCCUCAG